rnacentral:rRNA from 1 species
AUUGAACGCUGGCGGCAUGCUUUACACAUGCAAGUCGAGCGGCAGCGCGGGGUUCAGGCAACUGAGCCCUGGCGGCGAGCGGCGAACGGGUGAGUAAUACAUCGGAACGUACCCAGGAGUGGGGGAGUAGCCCGGCCGAAAGACCGGAUUAAUACCGCAUACGAUCUGUGGAUGAAAGUAGGGGGACCUAAGGGCAGCUGAGGGCCUCACGCUUUUGGAGCGGCCGAUGCCGAUUAGCUAGUUGGUGGGGU